rnacentral:tRNA from 1 species
GGGAGCGGACGGGCGCCUGGUGGCCCCCGCGGACUUCAAAUCCGUUGCGCCGGGCGAACAACCCGGCGGGUGGGUUCGAUUCCCAUGCGCUCCCC